GCUGAGGCUGACCUCAAACUUGAAAUUCUCAAGGAUUACAGGUGUGCUUCCCUGGUGCAUUGCCCAGGUUCUGAUAGUCAGAAAAACAAACUCCACACUCACAGAAAAUUGUGCUGUCCAAAGCACCAUUCUAAACCCUGUAUGUCUGUUAUUCUUUAAUCUUCAUGAACUGUGAUUCAGUCAUUAUACCGUUUUACAGAUGAGGAAACAGACUCAGAUGGAGUAAGAAGUACUUUCUGAAAUAUAAUCUGGAAAAUCGGCCUUGACUGGGAAUUGUCACUGCACUGUCACUGCACUGGGAAGUGCCAUGCUGUACACAUUCAGUUCCUCCUUUCAGCAUUUGUACCAAUAAAACUCAGACUAGAGAUCAACAGAGACCACAAAACGGGGACCUUCUUCAAUCCAGACUCAACAGAUCCACCAUUUUACUAAAUAUUGAAAUACACAGA